rnacentral:rRNA from 1 species
GACGAACGCUGGCGGCGUGCUUAACACAUGCAAGUCGAACGGUAAGGCCCUUCGGGGUACACGAGUGGCGAACGGGUGAGUAACACGUGGGUGAUCUGCCCUGCACUUCGGGAUAAGCCUGGGAAACUGGGUCUAAUACCGGAUAGGACCACUGCCUGCAUGGGUGGUGGGGGAAAGCUUUUGCGGUGUGGGAUGGGCCCGCGGCCUAUCAGCUUGUUGGUGGGGUGAUGGCGUACCAAGGCGACGACGGGGAGCCGGCCGUGGGGGGGGAACGGCCACACUGGGACUGAGAUACGGCCCAGACUCCUACGGGAGGCAGCAGUGGGGAAUAUUGCACAAUGGGCGCAAGCCUGAUGCAGCGACGCCGCGUGAGGGAUGACGGCCUUCGGGUUGUAAACCUCUUUCAGCACCGACGAAGCGCAAGUGACGGUAGGUGCAGAAGAAGGACCGGCCAACUACGUGCCAGCCGCCGCGGUAA